CCCCAUGUGUUUAAACCUAUGGUCAUCACAACAUGCUUAAUGUAUACGAAAUCUACAGUCAUGCUUACCAAAUAAGCUAGAGCCCAACUGUAUGCUGUAACUGUGAACUGGUAAUCUGUUAGAACAUAAAGCACACUUCCUCCAAAGAUGGUGGCAAGCGACAGCCAUGUCUUCAAUGAUGGCCAUGGCUGGGGGGUGUUUCUCCUAUUGCAACAAAUAUAGGGACUACAGAACGAAAGACAAUGAAGGUAUCAACAUUGGCAUGAAGUAAGAGCUCACUGUUGGUAAAGAGUGAAAGGUAGAACAUAAAGGCUGCAGGUAAGAAACGCCACAUGGUCAAAAGGUCAAGUGGGUCAUGCUCCACAAGCUUAAAACAUCCACAGACAAAAACACCUGCAGCACUAGUGAAAUACUGUAGAGCAGUCAGAGCUCCAGGGUAAGGGAAUUUCAUGACAGCCCACUUGUUGAUGAUGGAGAGCAGAGAUGCUGAAAUGCAAUAUCCAGCAGCUAUACCAUAGACAGAAGUUUGAUGAAGUAAGCUGCUACACCAGGUUGGCUCAAUUUCAUUGGCAGGAGGAGGCUCCUGGACCUUUUUGGUCAAUGUUAACUUUAGAAUUCUCCACAUCGUCAGACAUCUCAAAAGGAAUUUUGUGGAUCUCGCACUUCCUCGCAGAGUGUGCUUCUCCUGGGCUGCUAUGAGAAAUUCGAAGCGAAGGUCGUUUACAUAGAGAUGAGUUUCCCAAUUGCGAGGGAUCAGAUAUGGAAAUUGAGGGGCUUCGACAAGGAAGGCUCAAGGCUGUCUCCAGCAAAGGAAACUGAAUCAGCAAGUAUCGCCGUAAGCCACUGCCUCAUAAAAAGCAAAAAUGCAGUGGUAAAUAAAUUGUGCUCGUAGCCAUUUUUGGUGUGGUAAUAGCUUUAUUAGGC
rnacentral:misc_RNA from 1 species